CAGGGGGACAACACAAUGAUUUUGAUGCCUGAGUGCUUUUAUUCUUAGGCCGAAAUCCUGUCACCUUAGGUCGAUCGGUACCUCAGCUUUGAAGUCAAGGAUCAGCAGCAAUGUUGAUUGCUUGAUGGAGAUUUUCAGUUCCUAAACUUUGUCUAGGUCACACCCCAAAAGGGAUGAGACUCCUGGGCCAUUAGCUCAGGUGGUUAGAGCGCACCCCUGAUAAGGGUGAGGUCCCUGGUUCAAGUCCAGGAUGGCCCAUUCGGUGUUGGGGGUUUAGCUCAGUUGGUAGAGCGCCUGCUUUGCAAGCAGGAUGUCAGGAGUUCGAGUCUCCUAACCUCCACUGACCGAACUUGAUUCCCAUCUCCAAUUUUUUUGGAGUUGAGCUCGAUUGGAGUGUGAUUUAGAUGUGUCCGCUGGAUGACCCCAGCUUCCUGUCAUUCCAAGUUUUAGGUUGAUGCCUUGAAUUUGGUUGAUAAGAUGCUGGGCUCGGAUCAAAUGAUCAAGCAAUUGAUGAUUUGAUUUGAAGUUCUAGCAGAACCUUGACAACUGCAUAGGUGAGUCUGGAAAAAACAAAGCAUCUUACAGAUGCAUUGUUUUGAAUCUGAUCUUCUGAAAGGGAGAUUGGACCUAGAACAAUGAAAAUUCUUUUGAGCAAGAGCCGAGACUCUUGAGCGUUCUUUGAUUGGUGUCGAGCCAAUCAGAGUUUGAUCUUGUUUUUAGCAAUAAAAACUUGAGAAUCUGCUUUCAACGGCGGUAAGCGUUCAGGAGGUUAAUU
rnacentral:tRNA from 1 species